CACGUAGGGGGCGAGCGUUGUCCGGAUUUAUUGGGCGUAAAGAGCUCGUAGGCGGUUUGGCAAGUCGGGUGUGAAAUUUCGAGGCUCAACCUCGAAACGCCACUCGAUACUGCCAUGACUGGAGUCCGGUAGAGGAGUGCGGAAUUCCUGGUGUAGCGGUGAAAUGCGCAGAUAUCAGGAGGAACACCAACGGCGAAGGCAGCACUCUGGGCCGGUACUGACGCUGAGGAGCGAAAGCGUGGGGAGCAAACAGGAUUAGAUACCCUGGUAGUCCACGCCGUAAACGUUGGGCACUAGGUGUGGGGGGCUGUCAACGCCCUCCGUGCCGUAGCUAACGCAUUAAGUGCCCCGCCUGGGGAGUACGGCCGCAAGGCUAAA
rnacentral:rRNA from 1 species